CUGGGAGCGGCUAAGGUGGUCAAGUUGACCCAAAGACAUUCGCAACGCUUAUCAUGUGAAUACAAGAAAACAGCUUUCACAUUCAGAUGAUCAUGGCUUACUCCAUUUGCCACCUGCAUUGGAUAUAGCAGAUAGAUCUGUGAAGGUAGUUAAUACCCAUCCAACUAUGACAAAUCAUCAUCAUGGUCUUGGUCGUUCAAUAUUUUUGAAACAAACACGACAUUAUUAUGGCCACCAAUAUUUUCGACGUAACUCUACCAAUCAUGCCAAUGCUUCGUCUUCACGUGCCAAAGAAUAUAGAGAGAAAGUGUUUACAAGGCCAGAGAGAAUUCCUUCAAGCUCCUUAGGGAUGGAUGAAAUGUCAUCAAAUAAUAAAGCAGAG